UACGUAGGGUGCAAGCGUUAAUCGGAAUUACUGGGCGUAAAGCGUGCGUAGACGGUUAUGUAAGUCAGAUGUGAAAGCCCCGGGCUUAACCUGGGAAUGGCAUUUGAGACUGCAUAGCUAGGGUGCGGAAGAGGGAAGCGGAAUUUCCGGUGUAGCGGUGAAAUGCGUAGAUAUCGGAAGGAACACCAGUGGCGAAGGCGGCUCACUGGCCCGAUACUGACGCUGAGGAGCGAAAGCGUGGGGAGCGAACAGG
rnacentral:rRNA from 1 species